UACGAAGGGGGGCUAGCGUUGCUCGGAAUCACUGGGCGUAAAGCGCACGUAGGCGGAUUGUAAGUCAGGGGUGAAAUCCUGGAGCUCAACUCCAGAACUGCCUUUGAUACUGGCGACUUGCAGUCCGGGAGAGGUGAGUGGAACUGCGAGUGUAGAGGUGAAAUUCGUAGAUAUUCGCAAGAACACCGAGCGGCAGGAGG
rnacentral:rRNA from 1 species